rnacentral:misc_RNA from 1 species
GAUGAAGAACGCAGUGAAAUGCGAUAAGUAGUGUGAAUUGCAGAAUUCAGUGAAUCAUCGAAUCUUUGAACGCACAUUGCGCCCUUUGGUAUUCCUUAGGGCAUGCCUGUUCGAGCGUCAUUUAAACCUUCAAGCUCAGCUUGGUGUUGGGUGACUGUCCGCCGCCUCCGGGCGCGUGGACUCGCCUCAAAAUUAUUGGCGGCCGGUACAUUGGCUUCGAGCGCAGCAGAAACGCGAACUCGGGCCCGUCGUAUUGGCUCCCAGAAGCUAUCUUCACAAUUUUGACCUCGGAUCAGGUAGGGAUACCCGCUGAACUUAAGCAUAUCAAUAAGCGGAGGA